UCAGUGCUAGGAACCUGCGCCCGGCUGAGCUGAGCGAGGCGAGAGGAGAAAGCGAGGCCCGGGGACGGGACUGAGAGCUCUGAAAGGAGGGAGGCGGCUCCCGAGUACUCCGCGCGGGGCAGGCCCCGGCCUCGCCUCUUCGCCCAUUUUUAAGGCUCGAGUUAGAGGCCACCUCCUCCGAGAAGCCUUCGGUGACACCACCUCUCCCAGACGGUUCCCCUUUCUGAUUCCCACAGCAUUUUCCAACCAUUCACGGGACCGCCACCAUCACAGGCACUCGGUAGAUGUCUGCUGAAUGAGGAUAACUUCUACCCAACACCGUGAAGCCUGGCCCAGGGUCUGGCAUACAGAUGCCGUGUUUGUAAGAUGUCCAGCCACCACCUCAAUGUCAGCCGAAGCCCAGUGUCUCUCCAAAGCUCUUGAUCUCCAUUUCUGUCAGCGAUACCAUCAUUUCCCAGUCACUCCGUCCAGAAAG
rnacentral:lncRNA from 1 species